AAGGAUCAUUACAGAGAACUUGCCCUUCGGGGUAGAUCUCCCACCCUUUGUUUACAUUACCCUUGUUGCUUUGGCAGGCCCGUCCCUCGGGACCGCCGGCUUCGGCUGGCCCGCGCCUGCCAGAGGAUCUCAAACUCUUGUUUAAAUGUCGUCUGAGUACUAUAUAAUAAAGUUAAAACUUUCAACAACGGAUCUCUUGGUUCUG
rnacentral:misc_RNA from 1 species